UACGGAGGGGGCUAGCGUUGUUCGGAAUUACUGGGCGUAAAGCGCACGUAGGCGGCUUCGCAAGUCAGAGGUGAAAGCCCGGGGCUCAACCCAGGAACUGCCUUUGAGACUGCGUGGCUGGAAUCCGGGAGAGGCGGGUGGAAUUCCCGGUGUAGAGGUGAAAUUCGUAGAUAUUCGGAGGAACACCAGUGGCGAAGGCGGCCCGCUGGGCCGUCACUGACGCUGAGGUGCGAAAGCGUGGGGAGCAAACAGG
rnacentral:rRNA from 1 species